UCGUGUCUCUUUAGGGCGUUUGGAGGAAACCACGCAAUUCAUAUGGAUUACUUUGGCGAUGUUUUUUUGCGAAGAACUUUUUGAAACGAAGAUCUUUGAUGAAUCUUUUCAUCGGAGGAACAUCUCUCAGAUUUCAUUAUAAUAUCUCCGCUUUUCUUUCUAAGAUGAACGAAAGUCUUAGAUGGUUUAGAGCAUCUUAAGGGUGAGUGAUGAUAUAAUUCAAAUAGUUUUGGGGGAACUAUGAAAUUAAUUAGAAAAUAUAGCGGUAUGUUCUUAUUUUUACCAGCUUCUGCAAGCGUGUAUGGCGUCUGGCUGUUGGAACCUCACUGUGGCUUCAGAUAAGAACAAAGAUUAAAUUGUAAGAAGGGUUGCUUAUAAGAGCAUACAGUACAUCUGGAACUGCUGAGGCUGAUCAGCUGCUAUAGAAGACAAACUGAAAUCUGAGUGCAGAGACAAGCAAAGGAAUAGCACUUGUGCAAAAUAUUGUAUGCCUGAACGACUAGGCUGUGCCCAGGUCUCCGGAACGACGACGCUCAGCUCCAUCGGCCCUUAAUAUCUGGCUUCAGAUCCACCAGCUCUGUCUCCAUCGGUCGGUCCCCAGAUGUCGGCAGCCACACCAUCUACAUCUUGGCUCCUCGCUCCCUCGACUCCGCCGUGUGUUGUCAGCACUGGGAUGCUCUGGGUCUGUGCCAUGUGCCAAACACCAUCUAAGUCGCCAGGGCAUCAUCGCCAUCCUCCCAUCACCAUCCCUUCACCACAUCCUGCCAUCAUCCCGCACCUUUGCCCCUCACCAUCUCCUCGUCCACCUCCAAUCCCCCCCCCCCUCCUGUUGCUUGAACUUUAUCAUCUUCAGUCUUUGCACAC